GACGAACGUCGGCGGAGUGCUUAACAUAUGUAUGUCGAACCGAAUGGCCCCGCCUCCGAGGGGUGCUCGAGUGGCGAACGGGUGCGUAACACGUGAGUACCCUGCCCUUGACUUUGGGAUAACCUCAGGAAACUGGGGCUAAUACCGGAUAGGAGCCCCUGCUGCCAGGUGGGGGUUGGAAAGUUUCGGCGGUUGGGGAUGGACUCGCGGCUUAUCAGCUUGUUGGUGGGGUAGUGGCUUACCAAGGCUUUGACGGGUAGCCGGCCUGAGAGGGUGACCGGCCACAUUGGAACUUAGAUACGGCCCAGACUCCUACGGGGGGCAGCAGUGGGUAUUGAUGCACAAUGGGCGGAAGCCUAAUGCAGCAACACCAGGAGAGGGAUGUCAUACUUCAAAUUAUAGACCGCUUUCGCCAGUGACGAAGCGUGUUAGACGGUAAUGGGUAAGGAAGCACCGGGUGGCUACAGU
rnacentral:rRNA from 1 species